AUACUCCUAGAAUAAGAGGUCCAACCUGCCCAGUGACUAAAAGUUAAACGGCCGCGGUAUUCUAACCGUGCUAAGGUAGCGUAAUCACUUGUCUUUUAAAUGAAGACCUGUAUGAAAGGUGUCACGAGGACCCCACUGUCUCCUACUUCAAGUCAGUGAAAUUGAUCUGCCCGUGCAGAAGCGGGCCUUAACCCAUAAGACGAGAAGACCCUGUGGAGCUUAAGACAUAAAACCACCUGCGCCUAAAACCCCGCACACCGCCAAAAGCCACAAAGCACAGCAGCCAUGGUUCAAUUGUCUUAGGUUGGGGCGACCACGGAGGACAAAAAAGCCUCCAAGAAGAAACAGGGGGACAGCAAAACCAACCCCUAAGAGCCAAGAGCCACAGCUCUAAGCAACAGAAAACUCUGACUAAUAAUGAUCCGGGCCAAUCCCGAUCAACGAACCAAGUUACCCCAGGGAUAACAGCGCAAUCCUUUCCAAGAGCCCAUAUCGCCGAAAGGGUUUACGACCUCGAUGUUGGAUCAGGACAUCCUAAUGGCGAAAAUUCUAUUAAGGGUUCGUUUGUUCAACGAUUAAAGUCCUACGUGAUCUGAGUUCAGACCGGAGCAAUCCAGUUCCGGGUUUCA
rnacentral:rRNA from 1 species